rnacentral:rRNA from 1 species
UAAGACGAACCGUGCGAACGUUGUUCGGAAUCACUGGGCUUAAAGGGCGCGUAGGCGGACCGAAAAGUCAGGGGUGAAAUCCUCCAGCUUAACUGGAGAACAGCCUUUGAUACUGGCGGUCUCGAGGAAGGUAGGGGCAUGCGGAACUGAUGGUGGAGCGGUGAAAUGUGUUGAUAUCAUCAGGAACUCCGGUGGCGAAAGCGGCGUGCUGGACCUUUUCUGACGCUGAGGCGCGAAAGCCAGGGGAGCAAACGGGAUUAGAUACCCCGGUAGUCCUGGCCCUAAACGUUGAGAACUAGGUAGUAGCCUUGACAUGGGGUUACUGCCGAAGCAAAAGUGCUAAGUUCUCCGCCUGGGGAGUAUGGUCGCAAGGCUG